GUUGCAGCGAGCUGAGAUGGCGCCACUGCACUCCAGCCUAGGCGACAGAGUGAGACUCAGUCUCAAAAGAAAAAAGCAAACAAACAAACAAAAAACAAAAAGAAAUGUUACUUCUGGCUGUGCCAAGACAAGCUUGGGGAGCAAUUCUUGGGCUACAUAUACCUGAGCCCCACGUUCCAGUACCUGCAACUACUGAGGGACAGCCAGCUAGGGUUUCCCCACCAUCCUGACAACCUUCAGGGGAGCCAACUCCUAUUUCCAGAGCUGGAGCCAGCUAGGCUUUCCUGAGUGCAGCAAUAAAAGGGGAAAAUCAACAUCCCAAUGAUCUUGUUUAUGGUGCUAAGUAAGCUGCACAGCUUAAUCCCUACGAGGUUAAUGAAUUUACGACUUGCUUUGGAAUUUGACAAGGGCUAUAAAAGAGGAAUGAACCACGCUCUGGACAGCUCCUUCCUAGCGGCUGCUAGGGUUGGACUAGCUUGACCCGCCCUGAUGAAGGAGGGGUGAAGACGUAAGUGGUGGGUUCAUGGCCAAUUGUCUGGGUUCUGAAUUGAGUGGACCAAAGGAGGGACAAUCUAAGGGCCAAAGGACAUUUCCUGUAACCCUCUGGCUAGGUCAGGGUGAGCAGCCUGGGCUGCUCGAGCUGGAGUUCCCAGGUCUUCAGGUGACCUUGGUGUCUUGGGCAAGUCAUUUAACCUCUCUGAGCCUCUGUUUCCUCAUCUGGAAGAGACACGAUGCUAUGUACCUCAUGUUGUAGCUGUGAGAAUGAUGUGAGAGAAUGCAUGUAAAGGAACUAGCAUUGGAUUUGUAUAUAGUAAGUCCUCAAAAAAUGUUAGUGGUGGUAAUUAUCAUUUCAUUCUGUCUUAAAUCAUAAUUUGCUGUCUACUUGUCUAUGCCCCCACCAUUUAUCCAUCCAUUCAGAAAUUCAAUAAAUCUUUACUGAGAAAUUAGACUGCGUGCCAGGCCCUGUGUCAGAUACAAUUUGGAAUGAGAGGCACAUACCUUAAAACACAUUAAAAAGAAAGGAGAUUGGUGCUGGGAAGGAAGGACGUACAGGUUACCCUGAAUGCACAAAGAAAGAAGUGGCUGAACCUGCCUCUCUAGUCUAAGCCAGUUUUGAAUAAUGCCUUCUACUGAUAGAGCACUUAGCACAUCACAGAAGUGAUGUUCUUUGAUUCUUUUGAUUCUCGAAAUAAUCCAGUAAUGACCACAUUUUCUAAAUCAAAAAUUAGAAUCCAGUGUGACUACAUGGUAUGGCAAUAGGUCAAAACAUUUGGAAUAGGGACAGGUUAGAAAAGCUGGGACAUGCUGAACUUCAUAAACAGAGAGGGCACAGAUUUCUAGUAUCUGUUUGAACAGCUAUGAAAAUGAAGCUAAAAUUGUCAGUGGGAGAAGUGAGGCUUCAUCCCAUUCAUUCACUGAUUACUUUGCGAGAAGCCAAGGGCAAGGACUGUGCUGCUUACUUCUGGGUACACGGAGCCUAGAAUAGAACCUGCAGAGAUUAGAGCCUCAAUAAAUGUUUCUCACAUGAAUAAUGAAUCUUUGUAUAAGUAUAUAUAUAUAUAUAUCUGCUUCUGGAAGCAAAAUUCAAAAGAGAAACUGAUAUUCAUCAUUUUCUCUUUUUCCCCUCUCAUAUUGUCUUGAAAGCGCUCUGGCUGGGAUUGACAAGCGUUCCCUUUUUGCCAGUUCUGAUGGUUAAGUCUCAGUAAUCCUCACCGGACUCCACGGACAGUGACUUGAGCUCAGUAGAUCACUCCCUUCUUCUUCUUCUUUUUUGGAAAUGGAGUUUUGCUCUUGUUGCCCAGGCUGGAGGGCAAUGGCGUGAUCUCGACUCACUGCAACCUCCACCUCCCGGGUUCAAGCGAUUCUCCUGUCUCAGCCUCCUGAAUAGCUGGGAUUACAGGCUAAUUUUUGGUAUUUUUAGUAGAGAUGGGGUUUCACUAUGUUGGCCAGGCUGAUCUCGAACUCCUGACCUCAGGUGAUCCACCCGCCUCGGCCUCCCAAAGUGCCUUUUUUUUUUUUUUUUUGAGAUGUAGUCUCACUAUGUUGGCCAGGCUGGAGUGCAGUAACGCGAUCUUUGCUCACUGCAACCUCCGCCUUCCGGAUUCAAUCAAUUCUCCUGC
rnacentral:lncRNA from 1 species